AACGUAGGAGACAAACGUUAUCCGGAGUUACUGGGCGUAAAGGGCGUGUAGGCGGUUUGUUAGUCAGGCGUGAAAUUCCUGGGCUCAACCUGGGGACUGCGCUUGAUACGGCAGAGCUAGAGGAUGGAAGAGGCUCGCGGAAUUCCCAGUGUAGAGGUGAAAUUCGUAGAUAUUGGGAAGAACACCGGUGGCGAAGGCGGCGAGCUGGGUAGAUACUGACGCUGAGGCGCGAAAGCGUGGGGAGCAAACAGG
rnacentral:rRNA from 1 species